GGGAUCGUAGCUCAGCUGGGAUGAGCGUUCGCCUCACACGCGAAAGGUCAGGAGUUCGAGCCUCCUCGGUCCCACGA
rnacentral:tRNA from 1 species